AUUGAACGCUGGCGGCAGGCCUAACACAUGCGAGUCGAACGGUAACAGGAAACAGCUUGCUGUUUCGCUGACGAGUGGCGGACGGGUGAGUAAUGUCUGGGAAACUGCCUGAUGGAGGGGGAUAACUACUGGAAACGGUAGCUAAUACCGCAUACGUCGCAAGACCAAAGAGGGGGACCUUCGGGCCUCUUGCCAUCGGAUGUGCCCAGAUGGGAUUAGCUAGUAGGUGGGGUAACGGCUCACCUAGGCGACGAUGCCUAGCUGCUCUGAGAGGAUGACCAGCCACACUGGAACUGGGACACGGUCCAGACUCCUACGGGAGGCAGCAGUGGGGAAUAUUGCACAAUGGGCGCAAGCCUGAUGAAGCCAUGCCGCGUGUAUGAAGAAGGCCUUCGGGUUGUAAAGUACUUUCAGCGGGGAGGAAGGGAGUAAAGUUAAUACCUGCACUCAUUGACGUUACCCGCAGAAGAAGCACCGGCUAACUCCGUG
rnacentral:rRNA from 1 species